rnacentral:misc_RNA from 1 species
UUUUUAUGUAUGUUACAUCAGAACUUUUGCCCGUGUGGACCGAUUUCGACAAAUUUUCUUUUAAUCGAAAGGUGGUGUGUGUCAAUUGGUCCCAUUUAAAUUUAUUUGAGAUCUAACAACUACUUUUCGAGCUAUAUCUAAUAAUGCGUUUUUACUUGACGCUUUUUUCGUCGACCUACGUUGUAUUAUACCGCAUAACUUUCU